rnacentral:rRNA from 1 species
CUGCCCAGUGAGUAAUAUUCAACGGCCGCGGUAUCCUAACCGUGCAAAGGUAGCAUAAUAACUUGCCUAUUAAUUGUAGGCUAGAAUGAACGGAAUAACGAAAUAAAAACUGUCUCAAUUAGUCAACUAAAAAUUAUUCUCUAUAUAAAGAAAAAUAGAUAAAUUCGAAGGACAAGAAGACCCUAUAGAGCUUUAUUUUAUAUGUAAGAAUAAAACUAAACAAAAUUCGGUUGGGGCGACCCGGGAAAUCUAAAACACCCCUAAAUAAAAAGAUAAAUUUAUCUAAUUAUUGACCCUUAAAAGAUCAAAAAACCAAGCUACCUUAGGGAUAACAGACUAAUCCCAUUUAAGAGUUCAUAUCAACAAUGGGGUUUGGCACCUCGAUGUUGGCUUAGGGUACCUACAUAGCGCAAAAGUUAUAUAAGGUGGUUUGUU